AUGAAGUCGGUGACGACGUUGGCGGACGCGGCGCCGGGCAGGUGCAUGGUGUCCGUGAGGUACGUCACCAGGUUCACGGCGAUGCCCAUGGUGGCCAGCCGCUCGCAUAGCUCGAUCCCGACCACGGAUGCCGCUCCCAGCCAGCUGCCGGUGCUGGACCUGUUGGCCGGGCAACCCCGGUAG
rnacentral:rRNA from 1 species